CAGCCGCUUUGCCUGAUGUAUUUCAAAUGUUCAAGUAAGAAGCUGCCAGCUAUCAAGACCACAGAAAAUGCAAGGUGAACAUAUUUUCAAAACCAGGAGGGAAAAUAAUUCCAUGGCAUUGAUGAAAGAAAGAAAUAUCAUCAGCAUCUCACAAGCCACUAGGAAGCUUCGUGUCCAUCUCUGCUUGGGAAUUCUAGAAGCUAUGGUCCAAAGACACAGAUUGGAGAAAAGGGGGGCCAAACCUGGAAGACAAUGACUGAAAGAACCUCUCAAGUUGACAUCACAAAACAAUGCAAUACUGUCCUGUGAUUGGCUGAAUG